AUGCUCACUUUGACAUCAUAUGUAUUAAAAAUUGGAAUGACACAGAAAAGAGUAACAUGGCCCUGUGCGAGGAUGACACACAAAUUCAUAAAGUGCCCCAUAUUUUU
ensembl:snRNA U6 U6 spliceosomal RNA